rnacentral:lncRNA from 1 species
GCGCUGGGAGAAGCGGACUCAGCAGCUCCGGCCACAAAGGCGCUUUUCAGCCGCCCCGGCUCAGGGAGAGGAAAGGGCAGAAAGCCGCGCCCCCAAUCCCUGCUCCGUCCGGAUGCAGCCCAGAAGGGCGUGGGAGUAGCACCUGAGAAUAACGGUCUCCUUGUGCGGAUCUGGGGAGCCCCCUGCAGGGUGGCAACCAGAGGAAAGGGCCACAAUGUUCCACGGCCAAGGAGGAAAGAAGGAAUGCCCCUUUUCCCAUCUCUAGUUCUAACAUUCAAGAUCACUGGCCAGGCUGGAUGAAGUGGCUCACACCUGUAAUCCAGCACUUUGGGAGGCCGAGGUGGGAGGAUCCCUUGAGCUCAGGAGUUCAAGACUAGCCUAGGCAACAUGGCAAGACCCCGUCUCUACAAAAAAUAAAAAAUAAAUCACUCGCCAGAGGUGGUCCUUCUCUUCCACCUCACUCUAGGUGGUUCCAAUGCUCAAAAAUGGUAGUUGAAUUUAUCCUAAUUAUGUAAUUCCAAGGAAAGCCCCUGAGAUAGGCAGAGCUUGGAAGACUUAGGAGCCCUCUGAUUCUCAGGUGGGUCCAUCUGUUAUUCUCACUGAGGAUUACUUUUUAACCCCAAGAUUAUCGUUUAGACCCUAGGAUAGCCCUAGAAUAGACCCUAGAAUAGAUGUGUCCUGGUUCUAGGACACGUUUCCCAUGCCAAAAGCAAUGUCUGCCCAGCCCCUCCUCAGGUAGAUGGUCUGGUGACCUGACCCUUGGCCACCCCUGUCCCAGCCCUUUUCAGUCUCUUCUUUUCGGCCCACAGAGCUUUUCUACAAUCAGGUCAGGAGCCAGGCUUCUGUCUGCUACCUAGCCAGCUCCUGGCCCCCAGCUCACCCCAGCCCUUCCUGCCUGGCUGGGUGGCUGACCCCCGGUCCACGCCUCAGCCAUUUCCCGUCUCGCCUGCCGCCAUCCUCCUUUCCCCGCCCUCGCUGCCUCUACCAGCUUCACUCUCACUAGUCAGUCCCUCCUCCCCUCCCCAUCCCAGACUAUUCUAGUCGGGAGCCGUCCUAAUUACUCUGUCCAGACUGCAAGGAUUUUUCCCCCCCCUGGGGCUGGUGACAAGGGAAAUCUCUAAGGCUAAACUCUCUGUAGGUGAAGCUGGACUCACCCACCUGGGCUGCCAUAGGAAAACGGAGGAGCUGGCAGUGCCCCGGCGCAGGCAUCUAAUAGCUGCUGUUUUUCAAAUGAAUGACUUCUCAGUUGGAAGCUGCUGAAGGGCAGUGGACACUCAAAAGUCUUUGUAAGAGGUGAGGAUCACUUCCCUUAACCGUCCAUCUAGGCACCUCUCCAGCUUUCUCCCUCUCUGGACUCCCGGGGCUCCAUUUUCAGCCACUCAGAUCUCAUCUCAGAGGCACCACGUCCAAUUUCUUUUGUUUAGAAGUCAUUUCUUCUAAGAAGCCUUCCUUGAUGUCCCAACACUGCCCACCUGUGUUCCCUCGAGAACCAUUACUUAACUGCAGUGUUAGAACAGUAUUAGAAUUAUCUGGCACCUUACUAGACAAAGCAAUCUUAAGCACACACAUAUUUAUCAUGUAUCUCCAAGGUUAAGUGCCUACUCUACAGAAGGGUGCUUUGCAAGCAUUUGUGGAAUCUACACUUUGUGUUUCAUAUUCACCCUCCCCUCACCACACUCUAUGGCUAGUACUCAUAGCAACUUUGUGUACAUCAGAAAAAACCAGGCCAGGCACAGUGGCUCACUCCUGUAAUCCCAACACUUUGGGGGCGAGGCAAGGACUGC